rnacentral:rRNA from 1 species
UGGGGAAUAUUGGGCAAUGGGCGCAAGCCUGACCCAGCGACGCCGCGUGAGGGAUGAAGGUCUUCGGAUUGUAAACCUCUUUCAGUGGGGAAGAAGCGAAAGUGACGGUACCCAAAGAAGAAGCACCGGCUAACUAUGUGCCAGCAGCCGCGGUAAUACAUAGGGUGCAAGCGUUGUCCGGAAUUAUUGGGCGUAAAGAGCUCGUAGGUGGUUUAUCACGUCGGAUGUGAAAUUCUGAGGCUCAACCUCGGACCUGCAUUCGAUACGGGCAAACUAGAGUGUGGUAGGGGAGACUGGAAUUCCUGGUGUAGCGGUGGAAUGCGCAGAUAUCAGGAGGAACACCAAUGGCGAAGGCAGGUCUCUGGGCCAUUACUGACACUGAGGAGCGAAAGCGCGGGGAGCGAACAGGAUUAGAUACCCUGGUAGUCCGCGCCGUAAACGGUGGGCACUAGUUGUGGGAACCUUCCACGGUUUCCGCGACGCAGCUAACGCAUUAAGUGCCCCGCCUGGGGAGUACGAUCGCAAGGUUG